rnacentral:rRNA from 1 species
UGCAGGGUAUAGACCCGAAACCCGGUGAUCUAGCCAUGGGCAGGUUGAAGGUUGGGUAACACUAACUGGAGGACCGAACCGACUAAUGUUGAAAAAUUAGCGGAUGACCUGUGGCUGGGGGUGAAAGGCCAAUCAAACCGGGAGAUAGCUGGUUCUCCCCGAAAGCUAUUUAGGUAGCGCCUCGUGAAUUCAUCUCCGGGGGUAGAGCACUGUUUCGGCUAGGGGGCCAUCCCGGCUUACCAACCCGAUGCAAACUGCGAAUACCGGAGAAUGUUAUCACGGGAGACACACGGCGGGUGCUAACGUCCGUCGUGAAGAGGGAAACAACCCAGACCGCCAGCUAAGGUCCCAAAGUCAUGGUUAAGUGGGAAACGAUGUGGGAAGGCCCAGACAGCCAGGAUGUUGGCUUAGAAGCAGCCAUCAUUUAAAGAAAGCGUAAUAGCUCACUGGUCGAGUCGGCCUGCGCGGAAGAUGUAACGGGGCUAAACCAUGCACCGAAGCUGCGGCAGCGACGCUGAUGCGU